GACGCGGCCUUCCAGGAGCUUAAGCGGCGCUUCACUACAGCACCCAUCCUCACGCUCCCUGAUCCGGCUCGCCAGUUUGUGGUGGAGGUGGACGCCUCCAAUAAUGGGAUCGGGGCCAUUCUCUCCCAGCGAGCAGAGUCUGACAACAAGCUUCAUCCGUGUGCCUUCCUGUCGCGACGACUAACUGCAGCGGAGCGGAACUACGACGUGGGAGAUCGUGAGCUGCUGGCAGUGAAGGCGGCGCUGGAGGAGUGGCGGCACUGGCUCGAGGGGGCACAGCACCCUUUUUUGGUUUGGACAGACCACAAGAACCUGCAACCGGGAUCAAGAAAUACCAAGCCUGACGCCUUAUCCCGUCUUUUCAGCCCGGAGCCCGUGGCCAGGGAACCUGAGCCCAUCCUCCCACUACACUGUGUGGUUGGAGCGGUUACCUGGCCUAUAGAGACCAAGGUGAAGCAGGCCAACGGUCCCUUGCCCUUCCUCAUGUGUCACCAGUCUGAUUGUCUCCCCUGAUUCCUGAUUGUGUCCACCUGUUCCCACAACUCCCUCAUGGGUACUUAUAGUCUGCGUCGCCCCUUGUCCUGU
ensembl:lncRNA